rnacentral:tRNA from 1 species
GAGGUUGUAGUGUAACGACAGCAUCCCAGGCUUUUACCCUGGUGGUGAGGGUUCGAAUCCCUCCGGCCUCA